rnacentral:rRNA from 1 species
GACAGAGGGUGCAAACGUUGCUCGGAAUUACUGGGCGUAAAGCGCGUGUAGGCGGGUCGGAAAGUCGGGCGUGAAAUCCCCAGGCUCAACCUGGGAACUGCACUCGAAACUUCCGAUCUAGAGUGGUGGAGAGGGAAGUGGAAUUCCUGGUGUAGAGGUGAAAUUCGUAGAUAUCAGGAGGAACACCAGUGGCGAAGGCGGCUUCCUGGACACCAACUGACGCUGAGACGCGAAAGCGUGGGGAGCAAACAGGAUUAGAUACCCUGGUAGUCCACGCUGUAAACGAUGGGCACUAGGUGUCGCGGGUAUUGACCCCUGCGGUGCCGUAGCUAACGCGUUAAGUGCCCCGCCUGGGGAGUACGGCCGCAAGGCUAAA